CAGAUGACACCUGCCAGCUAGACAUGUACACCUUACAGUCCUUCCAUACACCAAAUAUAGUAGACCUAUUGCAUACAGUAUAAGAAAAACAGACCAAAACACAAAAACUUAACUAUAACCACUGAACCAUGAAAAUGAGGUCAAGGUCAGAUGACACCUGCCAGCUAGACAUGUACACCUUACAGUCCUUCCAUACACCAAAUAUAGUAGACCUAUUGCAUACAGUAUAAGAAAAACAGACCAAAACACAAAAACUUAACUAUAACCACUGAACCAUGAAAAUGAGGUCAAGGUCAGAUGACACCUGCCAGUUGGACAUGUACACCUUACAGUCCUUCCAUACACCGAAUAUACUAGACCUAUUGCUUAUAGUAUCUGAGAUAUGGAAUUGACAACCAAAACUUAACCUUGUUCACUGAUCCAUGAAAUGAGGUUGAGGUCAAGUGAAAACUGUCUGACGGGCAUGAGGACCUUGCAAGGUAUGCACAUACCAAAUAUAGUUAUCCUAUUACUCAUAAUAAGAGAGAUAUUAACAUUACAAAAAAUAUUAACUUUUUUUUCAAGUAGUCACUGAACCAUGAAAAUGAGGUCAAGGACAAUGGACAUGUGAAAGACAGAAACUUCGUAACAUGAACAUCUAUAUACAAAGUAUGAAG